GGGCCGACGGACACUUGGGGGUGUGUAUUGUGAUGGUGUGUUCCUGAAUACUCGGACACCAGCCUUCCGAGCCGUCAUUUCCGUUACCUUCGGAGAAGCGCUGGGCGGCCAUCUUGUCCCGUGUGAUGUACAGGGCGUUGACCAGGUAGAAGACUCCGCCCAGCACGGCGACGGCGGGACAGAGCAGGAAGCUGUACUGCAGGCUGUGGAAGCGCCACUGCGGGGAGUCCGGGUCGUAGGCGCUCAGCGAAUCAGAGAUCUGGGGACAGGGUGGGGAGGUCAUGUGACCCAGGAGGGGGCUGGAAUCACCCUUCAGACGGGUUGUGGUAAUGACCGGCUGGCUGUAAAUUAUAAUGCUCAUUGCAAGGCUUCU